CGCCUCUUGCAUAAAUGUAAAUAAGAGGUCCUGCCUGCCCGGUGAUUUUAGAUUCAACGGCCGCAGUAUUUUGACUGUGCUAAGGUAGCGUAAUCACUUGUCUUUUAAAUGAAGACCUGUAUGAAUGGCAUGACGAGGGCUAAACUGUCUCCUUUAAUAAGUCAAUGAAAUUGAUCUCCCCGUGCAGAAGCGGGGGUGUAUACAUAAGACGAGAAGACCCUAUGGAGCUUUAAAUUUGUAGUUGAAUUGUAACAAAAACCUUAAUUAAAAGAUAAAUUAAGCAAAAUUCCACUAAAUAUUUUUGGUUGGGGCGACUACAGAGAAUAAUUAAACCUCUGAGAGGAAUAAGACUACUAAGUCUUUAAAUUUAAAGAAUACCAAUUCUAAAUGUCAUAAAUUUUUGACCUUUAAUGAUCCGGCCUUGCCGAUCAACGGACCAAGUUACCCUAGGGAUAACAGCGCAAUCCUCUUCAAGAGCCCAUAUCGACAAGAGGGUUUACGACCUCGAUGUUGGAUCAGGACAUCCUAAUGGUGUAAUCGCUAUUAAGGGUUCGUUUGUUCAACGAUUAAAGUCCU
rnacentral:rRNA from 1 species